AGUGAACGCUGGCGGUAGGCCUAACACAUGCAAGUCGAACGGCAGCACAGUAAGAGCUUGCUCUUACGGGUGGCGAGUGGCGGACGGGUGAGGAAUACAUCGGAAUCUACUUUUUCGUGGGGGAUAACGUAGGGAAACUUACGCUAAUACCGCAUACGACCUACGGGUGAAAGCAGGGGAUCUUCGGACCUUGCGCGAUUGAAUGAGCCGAUGUCGGAUUAGCUAGUUGGCGGGGUAAAGGCCCACCAAGGCGACGAUCCGUAGCUGGUCUGAGAGGAAGAUCAGCCACACUGGAACUGAGACACGGUCCAGACUCCUACGGGAGGCAGCAGUGGGGAAUAUUGGACAAUGGGCGCAAGCCUGAUCCAGCCAUACCGCGUGGGUGAAGAAGGCCUUCGGGUUGUAAAGCCCUUUUGUUGGGAGAGAAAAGCAGCAGGUUAAUACCCCGCUGUUCUGACGGUACCCAAAGAAUAAGCACCGGCUAACUUCGUG
rnacentral:rRNA from 1 species